GAAACACUUGAAUGUCGCGUAUUUUGUUCCUGUGAAGUAAAACGAUUCCUCGCUUAUUUCCUGCUUCGACCAAACACGAGUCUCACGUCUCAAAGUCUGAGUCUUGAUCUCUUUGUUGGCGCAAUUUGCUCUUCGCUUUUCUCGCCUUUGUCGCCAUGGGUUUCCUCUUUUUCGGCUUCGGCAUGAUCUCGCAGCUGCAGCCGCUUCUUACCCUGAUGUAGUCCAACGUCCACGUUGACCCGCUCACUGUGUUUCCAGGAAACGUUGGAAAUCUGUGUUCCCUGUGAUGGUGCCUCCUAUGUUCUUCGGAGCCUCCCUGAAAAAAAUGAAUACAUGUUUUAACGUUUUAAUUUACAUGAUUCUCGACGAUAGCGUAGGUGUAUGAGAAUUUCUGCACGCAUCUCGACUGGUUACUAAGCUUCCGGUCAACGAACCUGCAGGGCUUAUCGAGGACGUCUGGCCUGCAGGAGUACUCGAAGAACCUCUGGGCAUUUUCGCCGUCUCGAUAGAGCUCGACGUACAUAUCUUGCCGAUUUCGACCGCCAACGGGCUCGACCAUUUCCUCUAUCGUGGGACAACAGUCGACUGCGAGGCCAUCUUCGCCUCCCUCCUGGCGCAGAACCAUCUGCAUCUCACGCGAGAGAUAUGUCCUCUGAAGGGAUGCUCUCUGGAUCUACGAGAGGAAAAGGAUAAAGUGAGGUUGGCGGCAGCAAGCCGCGGGCACAGGACUGCGGUCAGCCAAACCACCUGCGAAUAAAAAGAUGAUAUAAUGCUCCAUGACUACGAUGCGCAACCGUGAUAAUAGGAGAAGGGCGUCCAUUCGGCAAUAUCUCCUUUCGAGGCUAAAAACCUUGUUGGAUUCUCUAGAAGCAUAUAAGAAGAAGAAGAAGAAGAAGAGGAGGAAGAGGAGGAGGAGGAGGUAGGAGGAGGGAUCGAACCUUAUGCAAAUGCAACAACGUUGCAAACGACCCUGUGAAAUCUUUGCGAGUAUGGCUUAACUUAACUUACCGUAAGAUAAUCGAACGACUACCGAUGAUAAUCCAAAGACAACGGCGAAUUUAAAGAUCUCGACGACGGGACGUCAUCGUAGAUCGGAGAUCACUCGGACCGAUCAUUGUCGGGGAUCACGGCGCCUCGAUCGGUAGGCGUUCACCGAUAACGAGAGACCUACGCUACGCUACGCAAGAAAGAAAGGGAGGAAGAUUUCAAAACGCAGCCGCAUACGUAAUGGUCCCCGGUAGAAAAAAAGAUUUCCGGAGAUGGAGUCUCUCAGCCGGAGACAGGUGAAUGUUUGACAUUCCUCUCGUGGCCUCCGCUUUCGACGCCCUAGCCGCACCCGAUCAUCGCCUUCUGUUUUCUCGAUACCCCUCCUCGAUCCCUUCUCGAUCCCUCCUUCGAUCGACGCGCGACAAACGUUUCCUUCGUUCGAGAGAACGCAAAACUCGUUUCAACUUUUUCCCUCGUAGAAUGUUUAUCUUCGGUUUCGUCGCACUUGAAAUUUCGAUCACUUUCCAAUUUUCUACUCAUAGAAAUUUUGGAAUAUAUUUUAAUCUUAUUUUAACCACGCUUCAAAAAAAAUUUUCGUUAUAUCGUUCAUAAUUCAAAACAGAUAUUGUGAUUAUGUCAAAAAGCACAUGAUUAUUGUAUAUCGCCGCGUAAAGAAUCUAUAUCUUUAAAACGUCAAGAGCUAGUUCAAAAUAUAAUUAGUAAAUGGGGAUCCUAUCGGUGACUGUCCGUCUAUUCCUCGUGAUAAAAAUUUGGACAUCGAAAUUUAAUUAAACGUCUUUUUAACGAUAGAUAUUCUUCAAUUCUUCCCACUAAAAUAAAUCUACAUAUAGGGCUCGUAUAGAAAGUUGAAGCGUGAUUAUGUCGAGUAAAGCUCUACGUUACCUUGGACAAAUAAAUCCAAGAAGAUUAAUGAUUUCGAAUGACUUUGAACAUUUUUUUUUUGAUAGUUAAAGAAGUGCCGAGCGAUUAAAAAAGAAAUUAUUUUAAUUCCAACGGAUUAAGAUAUGUCUGAGGGACAAAAAAAAAAUAAUAAAAGAAAAAUAUUGUUAGGAAUAAGACGAUGACUCUUAAUCGUUUUUGUUGGUAUAUAAACAGAAGCUACCAACAUCAUCAUCACUGCCGCCGCCGCCGCCACCGCCGCCGCCGCCACCACCACCACCACCACCACCAUCACUACCACCACCACCAUCACUACCACCACCUAUGAGAGAGGGUAUUCGAGACGAAGACAAUUUAUUCUGAAUUUGCCGGGUAAGAUCCGAGGACCCUUUUUGAAGCACGUGCAUUCUCGGUCGAAUACUGCCUGGACCAUUGCUCGUUCGCGGUAAAAUAAUAUUGUCCGACUAAAUUCUUCUUCCACCUCCGCUUCGCCUUCCAUCGUGGUACGCAACGUGAAACAAGACAAACUAUUUCGAGAUCUUUGCUUUUAAGUUUCUUUUAUUUAUUUAUGCGAGCAGCACGAUCGAAUGACGUUAACUGUUAUUAUAGCGACAUUUUCCUCCUGUCUAUUCUCCCUUUGUCACCUUUCGAAGAAUUACAAACGAGAAAACUACCCAUUCUAUUAUUGACAUCUUCAAAUCGUAAAACUCCAUUUACUCGGCAUGAUUUUUCUUCAAAUUCAAUUAUCGAAACGUUAGAUAAAUCAUUGUCGAUCCUCCAUGAUAAAAUGAAAGACGUCCCACCCUGGAUUAGAAGAAUUUUAGCUAAUUCCACGUUUUACGAUUUCAAUCUGAAGCCAUUCGGUGCUGUGAAAAAUAAAAAGUAAGGAUAAAUCCAGGACGUGUGGGUGCUGUUAAAGGGAUUCACGUAAGGCCAGGAACACGAAUGCGUGUCUUGCAUGAAUCAAAAGUGUCUCGAUUCAUUGUAUCGCGGCUUCAGGAUGAUCAGUUGCAGUAGGAAGCCAUUGUGUUGAGGAGGAAGCCUUUACAAAAACGUUCCAUCGACCUUCUUCCGUAGCAUCGCAAAGGGACUUAACGCCAUUGUAAGACCACCCCGAAAAUAAGAAAGAAAGAAAAGAAAAAGAAAAAAAAAAAAGUAGAAGAAGAAGAAGAAAAAAAGAAGAUUCGUACGUGUCCGUCGCUACUUCAGCGUAAGAACAGCAACUAGCUCGCUUUUAUCGUAAAACGCAACUCUCGCAAUUACGAUUCGUAACACGUCUGCGUCUCCCUCGUGUUGCCUCAGCAAACAUCGCUAAAACUUUGCGUGUGGUCGAAAACACGAAUCCUCUCAUGCAAGCGCACCAGACUGAAGGAUCCUCGAAAUGAGUAACGGGGAUUCCUCGAGACUUCCCCUCUUUAAUUACGUUGCGAAUCUCUCUUAGAGGCCAUCUUCUCGAGUAUCUUAAUUUAAAAUACUUUCACGAAUCCGAUGCUUUGCUCCUAUUUUCAUACUUGGCAUUCUGUU